UACGGGGGGGCAAGCGUUGUUCGGAAUUAUCUGGGUCGGUAAAGGGCUCGUAGGCGGCCAACUAAGUCCGACGAUGAAAUCCCCAGGCUUAACCUGGGAACUGCGUCUGAUACUGGGAGGCUUGAGUAUGGAGAGGAUGUAGAAUUCAGGUGUAGCGGUGAAAUGCGUAGAUAUCUGGAGACACCAGCGGCGAAGGCGGCGACUCUGGGCCGGUACUGACGCUGAGGAGCGAAAGGCGUGGGUAGCAAACAGGG
rnacentral:rRNA from 1 species